rnacentral:lncRNA from 1 species
CUUCUCCUAUAAACACAACAUUCAGUCCCCCUCCUCUCUAUGGGAGAUCUUGCAGGUGGGUUCCAUGUAGCCUUCUGUCACUCCUUUGCCAUUUCAGGAUGCAGUCCUCCUAUCUCAAGCUCUCAUUAGAGAAAGCUCCUUUCUUUCCCAGGCCUCCACGAGGUAACUGGGUUCCCUUUGGUUUGAGCUGAGGGAGGUCAGCAAGGCAUAUCUUCCAUCGACUGUGCCUACAGAACACUACUUCCCCACUAGGCUAAAAAAGAACUGAAAAUAUACUAAAAUUCUUAGUAGUUCUCCAAUCUGUCACUGUGCAAAUCUUGUUCAAGUCAGAUUUAAAGGCCGAUUUACAACAGCCCAUGACAAGAGUAAUAAAAGUACAAGCAGUAGCUGACAUUUACUGAGCACUUACUGUGUCCCCAGAUUUAAUACACACUACCCCUUUCACAUGUACUUUGUCAUCACACUCAAUCCUCGCCGGUCUAUAGUGCAGCAACUUCUAUUAUGGCUCCUUUAUCAAGAGUUGAGACUUGUGAGACAAAGCCAGUAACGGAUAGGACUGAGGCAGCUGCACACCAGAGUUGAGCUCAAAAACCAUUCCCUCCACUGCCACACCCUACAACAGUUCUUGCCUCUGUUCGUCCAUACCUGUUGUUCCUAUGCCUUGUACUCCUUUCUUCUGACCUGCCAAGUACUUGGGUUUUUGCCACUGGCUUGAGAAACCCAACUAUAGUUUCUGGCUCCAGGUUUCAGCCUGAUCUAGCCCAACUACUGUUGAUAUAUGAGCUCCCUCUCUCACUCAAUCCUUCAAAUAAAUUAAUUAAUUACAAAAAAAAAAAAAAAAAAAGACUACCACCUUCUGAACACUUACUACAAACCUAAACCUGAGACUUGGUAGUUUCCUGCAUUUACUAUUCCAUUUAAUGGUUAUCUGACCCACAUUCAGAAAGGCUGACUGGCCCAAAGUGAACACAACCAGUGAGCUCAGGAUAUGGAUAGCCAAACCCAGGUUCAAGUUUAAAAACUUUGUCAUAACUAUUACCAAAUCCAAAGCAAAAGGUGUAAAUGCUCACUACAAAUAAGUGGAAAGGAAAAAAAAAAAAACAUAAA